rnacentral:rRNA from 1 species
CCUACGGGUGGCUGCAGUGGGGGAUAUUGCACAAUGGGGGAAACCCUGAUGCAGCAACGCCGCGUGUGGGAAGAAGGUUUUCGGAUUGUAAACCAUUGUUCUUGGUGAAGAUAAUGCCGGUAACCAACGAGAAAGCUCCGGCUAACUACGUGCCAUCCGCCGCGGUAAUACGGAGGGAGCAAGCGUUGUCCGGAUUUACUGGGUGUAAAGGGUGCGUAGUCGGUCUUGGAAGUCAGCCGUGAAAACCACAGGCACAAACUGUGGGCUGCCUUGGAAACUGUGGGGCUUGAGUGAAGUAGAGGUAGGCGGAAUUCCCGGUGUAGCGGUGAAAUGCGUAGAGAUCGGGAGGAACAACAGUGGCGAAGGCGGCCUACUGGGCCUUAACUGACGCUGAGGCACGAAAGCAUGGGUAGCAAACAGGAUUAGAUACCCUGGUAGUC